GACGUAAGCCGCAGGCCGAGCGCAGUAUGGCUGCCGGGGGCGCGGCCCUGGGGCCCGCGGCUGGCGCUGCGACUCUCAGCCCCAUACACCGCGGACCUUCCUGGAGCCAGGACGCGGGGUCAAGUGUGUAGGUAAACCAGUCCAAGCAGCAUGCCUCCUGUUUCUGCAGCCGGAGCCCUGUCCUGCCGCCUCCAGGGCUCUGGGGAACGGACUCAAAGCCCGGAGGGCGUCCCCGGGCAUCCAUCCCUCUUGGGACACCGGGAAGCCGGAGGGAAGCCGGAGGGAGUGUGCGGAGGGCGAGGCGGACCAACCCUAGAAGGCGCGAGCUUUAGGGUUUCUGUGGCCCUACCCUGCCUCCACUUUUGGAAGGAAAGGCUGAUCGAUGUCCGUCAUUUUCCAGAGCCGAUGACCAGGUCGGCGCAGCCGAGGAACCUGCAUCGUGUGGCGAAUGGACAGCUAAGGAGGGAGCAAAGCAUCCACCCCCUCUGAAGAAGUGAGAAUCAGACUGGCCAUUUCCCAUGCUGGGGUAUGUGAAAAGAUAGACCGAAGCGUAUUUUCGGAUAUUCAAGAGUUUCUUUGAACAAAAAAAAAACACCGAUUUGGAUGAGGCAGCAUCCAGCCCGGCGGCCAGAAUGGCGUUCACGGGAGCUGUGCAAAAUGAAGGACUUCGGGGCAUCAGGGAGUGGGAACGAGAAAGUCAGACUAGCCACGAAGUGAGAAAUCACAGAGAGAGAGGGAGAGGCAGAGACACAGGCAGAGGGAGAAGCAGGCUCCACGCACCGGGAGCCCGACGUGGGAUUCGAUCCCGGGUCUCCAGGAUCAGGCCCUGGGCCAAAGGCAGGCGCCAAACCGCUGCGCCACCCAGGGAUCCGAAGGAAACAAUAUUUCUACCACAGGCUGCAGCUGCGAAGUGUCCUCACAAUCCCUUUGACCACCGCUUUCUUACUUAGAAUCCUUGUUCUCUAAAAUCAUGUGUCAGAAAACUUACUGUUUAAAGUCGUAUCAAUAAGAAUGAAACAUCCUGUUCUUCCUAUUUUGCAUGAUCUAAGUGAAUUUCAAAGAAGCAGCCUUUAUCUCCAUUUUACCUAAAAAGCCUCUAAUAAAGGCUUUCUGAACAUAUUCAGCAUCUAUCUUAACUUUAUCAAUUCCAAGGAAUAGGCCCCUGGGUCCACUUUACAGUCCAACCUAAUAUUGAUCUCUUUACACACAGCUCUUUUCUGCUUUGAGCCUACCAAAAUAUUGCUUUAUUUAGAUUCCACCUAACCUUUGCCCUUCCCAAAUCUGAUAAUAACUUUAUAGCUCUCUCUAAUUGAUGAGACACUUCUGGAUUCUGCAGUGCAAUCUCCCUCAUUGCAAGGAACCAGUUAUCCUAAUUUCAUCUUGCUAUAGAUUUGUCCCCGGCAGUUGUGUAGUCUGAUUAGCAGCCAGGAGUGAUCAUCCUACAGAAGGGAUUCCAGCUCAGGAGUAGUUAUCAGUCUAGCAAAGUAGGCAGUAUUCUCUGCUCUAUGUGGGAUGGAGGAAGACAUGCCCUUCAUGAAGUCAGGUACCACAUAGUCCACUUCUUUUACAUCCCCGUUGUUGGGCUGGUGAGAUUGGGGACCUCAGAAUGGCCGACCCGAGGCCAGCAACCUCGCAAUUACGCGCCUUGCCACCCCACCCCCAUCUUCCCCGCCUACGCCACCUGGCCGCCCUAUCCAACUUAGUUUACAAAGACCUGUAACCCUUAAUCGGAAUGCCCCACCCCCAUCUUCCCUCUGAAAACUCCUUAUAAGCCCCCCCUGCGGUUUCCCUGACUUGGGCCUCCUCUCCGAGUCACGAAACCUCGCCCAGGAGCGCUCCUCAUUAAAGCACUCUCAACUUAC